UACGUAGGGUGCAAGCGUUAAUCGGAAUUACUGGGCGUAAAGCGUGCGCAGGCGGCUUUGCAAGACAGAUGUGAAAUCCCCGGGCUUAACCUGGGAACUGCAUUUGUGACUGCAUGGCUGGAGUGCGGCAGAGGGGGAUGGAAUUCCGCGUGUAGCAGUGAAAUGCGUAGAUAUGCGGAGGAACACCGAUGGCGAAGGCCAUCCCCUGGGCCUGCACUGACGCUCAUGCACGAAAGCGUGGGGAGCAAACAGG
rnacentral:rRNA from 1 species